rnacentral:rRNA from 1 species
GACGAACGCUGGCGGCGUGCCUAAUACAUGCAAGUCGAGCGCAGGAAGCCGUCUGAACCCUUCGGGGGGACGACGGUGGAAUGAGCGGCGGACGGGUGAGUAACACGUAAAGAACCUGCCCAUAGGUCUGGGAUAACCACGAGAAAUCGGGGCUAAUACCGGAUGUGUCAUCGGACCGCAUGGUCCGCUGAUGAAAGGCGCUCCGGCGUCGCCCAUGGAUGGCCUUGCGGUGCAUUAGCAAGUUGGUGGGGUAACGGCCCACCAAGGCGACGAUGCAUAGCCGACCUGAGAGGGUGAUCGGCCACACUGGGACUGAGACACGGCCCAGACUCCUACGGGAGGCAGCAGUAGGGAAUCUUCCACAAUGGACGAAAGUCUGGUGGAGCAACGCCGCGUGAACGAUGAAGGCUUUCGGGUCGUAAAGUUCUGUUGUAAGGGAAGAACAAGUGCCGCAGGCAAUGGCGGCACCUUGACGGUACCUUGCGAGAAAGCCACGGCUAACUACUUGCCAGCAGCCGCCGUAACAC